AGCAGGAGCUGGCAGCUUUAUUGGUCAUGCCCUGAGAGUCUGAGGGAGGAGGUGUCAGCUUGUGGACUCAAAGAGGUACUCCAGGUCUGGCUGCCGUAGCCUCUGCUCCUUCUUCUUGUUCUUAGCAAGCUCCUUCAGCAUGGCCAUCACCUCGUUGUCAAACACAGCCGGCGUGGGCUUGGCUUCUGUGGCCCAGUAGUAGAUGUCCCAGUCGUUGCUGGGCUCGUUGAUGAGCCGGUCGUAGAGGUUCAGCUGCCGCUCAUCCAUACGGCUCAGGUUCUCCUUGGCAAAAAGGCUGAGCAAGAUGCAGUUCUCAAGCAUGCCCCUCUUCCUGCUCUCGUACAGCAGACGUGCUCUCUUGGUGGGCAGUGGCUCAUUGGGGCGCUCCUUCCAGGGAGGCAGAGGGAUCUCCAGCAUGUCCUUCCCUGAGUCGCCCAGCGAGGCCCCGCUGUAGCCCCGUGGCACGCACAGCCAUGCCAGCACUGGGCGGCACAGGGUGCAGCGGGGCAGCGAGCACAGCCGGCUCGUCGCCAUGAUUCCUCCCAACCCC
rnacentral:lncRNA from 1 species